UACGAAGGGGCUAGCGUUGCUCGGAAUCACUGGGCGUAAAGGGUGCGUAGGCGGGUCUUUAAGUCAGGGUGAAUCCUGGAGCUCAACUCCAGACUGCCUUUGAUACUGAGGAUCUUGAGUCGGAGAGGUGAGUGGAACUGCGAGUGUAGAGGUGAAAUUCGUAGAUAUUGCAAGAACACCAGUGGCGAAGGCGGCUCACUGGCCCGAUACUGACGCUGAGGCACGAAAGCGUGGGGAGC
rnacentral:rRNA from 1 species